rnacentral:rRNA from 1 species
UACAGAGGAUGCAAGCGUUAUCCGGAAUGAUUGGGCGUAAAGCGUCUGUAGGUGGCUUUUUAAGUCCGCCGUCAAAUCCCAGGGCUCAACUCUGGACAGGCGGUGGAAACUACCAAGCUGGAGUACGGUAGGGGCAGAGGGAAUUUCCGGUGGAGCGGUGAAAUGCGCAGAUAUCAGGAGGAACACCGGUGGCGAAGGCGGGUCUCUGGGCUGAAACUGACGCUGAGGAGCGAAAGCGUGGGGAGCGAACAGG